rnacentral:lncRNA from 1 species
CAGAUUUUCAUGAAGGCUGAUCUUUUCCAGGUUCAACAGUUCCAGGUCUCUCAGCCUUUUACUCUGAUGCCUUUGGUAGAAUGACAGGGCAGAGACUAGUCAAGGAUGUUCCUUACAUGCUGGUUAAACAUUACUAUUCCAACAAGAGAAAAGCUGAUCUGAAAUCCCAUUGGUGUCAGUUACUGGAGGGUGCUGUCUAGAAGGAAAGCACCCUAUAGUCUCCCUUCCAUUUUUUCUCAUCUGUUACUGCCCAUGACAAACAGAUUCAUUCUAAGUGGAAAUUUCAAGCCCAGUGAUACUGUCCCUUUCCU